rnacentral:tRNA from 1 species
CACCAGUUAGCCUAGUGGUUAAGGCUAUGGGUCGCCAAUCCGGAGAUGGCGGGUUCGAUUCCCGUUCCGGUCG